rnacentral:rRNA from 2 species
GUAAGUCUGCUGUGAAAGCCCUCAGCUCAACUGAGGAAGUGCAGUGGAAACUACAAAACUUGAGUACAGAAGAGGAAAGUGGAACUCCAUGUGUAGCGGUGAAAUGCGUAGAUAUAUGGAAGAACACCAGUGGCGAAGGCGGCUUUCUGGUCUGUUACUGACGCUGAGGCUCGAAAGCAUGGGUAGCGAACAGGAUUAGAUACCCUGGUAGUCCAUGCCGUAAACGAUGAAUACUAGGUGUUGGAGGGUUUCCGCCCUUCAGUGCCGCAGCUAACGCAUUAAGUAUUCCGCCUGGGGAGUACGACCGCAAGGUUGAAACUCAAAGGAAUUGACGGGGGCCCGCACAAGUGGUGGAGCAUGUGGUUUAAUUCGAUGCUACGCGAAGAACCUUACCAGCUCUUGACAUCUUCUGCCAACCCAAGAGAUUGGGCGUUCCCUUCGGGGACAGAAUGACAGGUGGUGCAUGGUUGUCGUCAGCUCGUGUCGUGAGAUGUUGGGUUAAGUCCCGCAACGAGCGCAACCCUUAUUAUUAGUUGCCAGCAUUUAGUUGGGCACUCUAGUGAGACUGCCGGUGAUAAACCGGAGGAAGGUGGGGACGACGUCAAAUCAUCAUGCCCCUUAUGAGCUGGGCUACACACGUGCUACAAUGGAUGGUACAACGAGUCGCGAAACCGCGAGGUCAAGCUAAUCUCUUAAAGCCAUUCUCAGUUCGGAUUGCAGGCUGCAACUCGCCUGCAUGAAGUUGGAAUCACUAGUAAUCGUGGAUCAGCAUGCCACGGUGAAUACGUUCCCGGGCCUUGUACACACCGCCCGUCACACCAUGAGAGUUUGUAACACCCAAAGACGAUGGGUAACCUUUUAGGAGCUAGUCGUC